GACGAACGCUGGCUGCGUGCUUAACACAUGCAAGUCGAACGAAGUGGCGAACGGGUGAGUAACGCGUAAUCAACCUGCCCUUCAGAGGGGGACAACAGUUGGAAACGACUGCUAAUACCGCAUACUGUAGGAGGGGAUUGCGUCUGAUUAGCUAGUUGACGGGGUAACGGCCCACCAAGGCGAUGAUCAGUAGCCGGUCUGAGAGGAUGAACGGCCACAUUGGGACUGAGACACGGCCCAGACUCCUACGGGAGGCAGCAGGGGGGAAGAGUCCGAAAUGGACGAAAGUCUGAAGGAGCAACGCCGCGUGAGUGAUGAGGGCCUUCGGGUUGUAAAGCUCUGUUAAUCGGGACGCGGUACCGGAAUAGAAAGCCACGGCUAACUACGUGCCAGCAGCCGCGGUAAUAC
rnacentral:rRNA from 1 species